rnacentral:rRNA from 1 species
GACGAACGCUGGCGGCGUGCUUAACACAUGCAAGUCGAACGGAAAGGCCCUGCUUUUGUGGGGUGCUCGAGUGGCGAACGGGUGAGUAACACGUGAGUAAUCUGCCCUUGACUUUGGGAUAACUUCAGGAAACUGGGGCUAAUACCGGAUAGGAGCUCCUGCUGCAUGGUGGGGGUUGGAAAGUUUCGGCGGUUGGGGAUGGACUCGCGGCUUAUCAGCUUGUUGGUGGGGUAGUGGCUUACCAAGGCUUUGACGGGUAGCCGGCCUGAGAGGGUGACCGGCCACAUUGGGACUGAGAUACGGCCCAGACUCCUACGGGAGGCAGCAGUGGGGAAUAUUGCACAAUGGGCGGAAGCCUGAUGCGGCAACGCCGCGUGCGGGAUGACGGCCUUCGGGUUGUAAACCACUUUCGCCUGUGACGAAGCGUGAGUGACGGUAAUGGGUAAAGAAGCACCGGCUAACUACGUG